AAAGAACUCGAUGUUUACCGACAUCGAAAGAUGAUGCGUAUAGAAGUGAAACACGACCAGACAUUUACCGAUGACUGGGGUGAGACUCGAUGUUUACCGACAUCGAAAGAUGAUGUUUACCGACAUCAAAAAAGGAAGACGCACCAACAAUUUUACGAUGACUGGGAAAGAACUCGAUGUUUACCGACAUCGAAAGAUGAUGUUUACCGACAUCAAAAAGGACGACCAGACAUUUAUCGAUGACUGGGAAAGGAUACAAACAGACGUCAACGGAC
rnacentral:lncRNA from 1 species